GUCUGUCUAGAAUUCCAAAGGCAAAUGACUCAAGGUAACAGGAAAAAAGAAAAUCCAGUAUCAGGAUAAUCAGAACACCACAGUGCAGCUUUGGUUCAUAUUCAGUCAUCUCAGGAGAACUUCAGAGGAGCUUGACUAGGCCAAAUAUUGAAGUUAAGUUUUCAAAUAAUGGAACUUUUUAAGAUGCCUUUUAAAGGGGAGGGGCAAGUUUUGGCAAUUAGUUGGCAGUGGCCUGUUUUGGUUGGGGUUGGGUGGGUUGGGUUUAGGUAAUUGUUUAGUUUAUGAUUUCAGAUAACUCAUGCCAGAGAACUUAAAUACUUAGGAUGGAAAAACUAAAGAAAUCUCACCUCCCAAGUUGGUGAUUUAAUAAAACUUAAUACUACUAUAGGAGCUUCAGAGCAAAGGAAGUGGCUUAAUGAUCCUGAAGGGAUUUCUUCUGAUGGUAGCUUUUAUAUUAUCAAACAGGUUUCUCAUUAUCAGAAGAGUUGCUUCAUAUCAUCUGGGAGCAGAAAACAGCAGGCAGCUGUUCACAGAUAAGUUUAACUUGCAUCUGCAGUAUUGCAUGUUAGGGAUAAGUGCUAUGUUUAAUAAGAGCUGUGGAGGUCCUAGGUCCCUUACUCAAGGGAUCUCAGGAUUUUGAGGAAUUUUCCCAUCCAGCCUUUUAAAAUGAGACAGGCCUUAUGCCUGUGGGCUUCCAUGAUGGGCUAACUCACUUCACUCGAGGCAAGUAAUUCCUUAAAGCCUCUUGAGAUUAAUACCUUAAUAAUCAAGGAUAAUGUUGAUAAAAUAAAAAUUUGUUUAGCAUUGAUUCUUGAAAACCCUAUGAAAAGAUAGCAUAAUGUGCUGUUAACCAGAAUCAGAUAUGUUAACCUUGCUAAAAUUUAAAUGUUAUGUGUAUUGUGCAGAAAACCGUAAAAUCACUCAAAAUAAAAUACUUUAUUUAGCGAAUGUAUGCUUUUAGAAAGCUGUCUCCUUAUUUAAAUAAAAUAUUGUUUGUCUGUAGUUAGUGUUGGGCAAUCUUGGGGGGAUUCUUCUCAUCUUUCAGAGACUUUGUCUGCGAACACUCUGUAAUGGACAAGAUCAGGAAUUGAGCUGAAGAACGAAUUUAACUUAAGGCAGGAAAGACAAAUUUUAUCCUUCGUAAAAUUGAUGACCAUUUAAUAAUUCCAGGCACAUGGCCAUAGAGACCCUCUAAAUAAAUAAGGAAUAAAUACUUAUUAGGCAGGUGGGAGAUUAUGAUCAGAAGAACAGGUAACUACACCUACGCAUUUUUCAGAAAGUCAGGAGUCGAAAUUGACAGUACUGAAGUAUAAUGCGGUCCACAUUUCCAAAGUUUGCAUGUUAAAUUGAAAUGCUUACCAUCUCAUCUAGUGUUAGCCAAUGCUUUACACUUAUUAGCCUUUUAUAUAGACACUUGGUGGGGGGCAUGUGGGUUUUUUAAAGAACUUUCCUUUGCAGAGGCUUCGUUUCAUCCUUCAUGAGGCUGUUCAGGAUUUUGACUUGCAUAUAAACGCUUGGCUCUGCCUUCUGUUCUCCUAGUGGGUGUGUGAGACCUUGCAGUGAGUUUUCAGCAUACUCAAGUAAAAAUUUUUUUCCCCCUGAUUUUGGAGGGAAGGGAGGAGAGGGUGGGGCUUACUUGUUUUAGCUUUUUUUUUGCAGACUACACAGAAUGCAGUUGUCUUGACCUCAGGUCUGUCUGUUCUGUUGGCAAGUAAUAAUGCAGUACUGUUCUGACCUGCUGCUAUUAGAAUGCAUUGUGAAACGACUGGAGUAUGAUUAAAAGUUAUGUUUCCCCCAAUGCUUGGAGUAGUGAUUGUUGAAGGAAAAUCCACUGAGUGAUAAAAGGCUGAGUGUUGAGGAAAUUUCUGCAGCUUUAAGCAUUCAUGUUUGUGAUUGAAGCAGUCCUUUUUGCUGUGCUUUAGGUAAAAUGCUUUUUGUUCACUUCUGGUAGGGGGGGUGGGGAGGGCACUGAAGCCUUUAGUCUUUUCCAGAUGCAACUUUAAAAUCAGUGACAAGAAAUAAGUUCCAAACGAACAACAGACUUCAAGAAGUUUAACUGGCAAGUGGAAACGUUUUAACAUCAGUUCAGUGGUCUUAGUGCAUUGUGUGUGCAGGUUUCUCUCUUCCCUCCCUUGGUCUCAAUUCUUAUACACAGGAACAUUCAGAACAACAGAUGAAGGGCCAGAGAAGCCAGACCCAGUAAGGAAAAAAAAAUAGUUCAUUUGCUUUUAAUAAACAAACCAAAC
ensembl:lncRNA